GUGCUCGCUUCGGCAGCACAUAUACUAAAAUUGGAAAGAUACUGAGAAGAUUAGCAUGGCUGUGCGCAAGGAUGACAUGCAAAUUCGUGAAGCGUUCCAUAUUUGA
ensembl:snRNA U6 U6 spliceosomal RNA